rnacentral:rRNA from 1 species
UACGAAGGGACCUAGCGUAGUUCGGAAUUACUGGGCUUAAAGAGCUCGUAGGUGGUUAAAAUAGUUGAUGGUGAAAUCCCAAGGCUCAACCUUGGAACUGCCAUCAAAACUUUUUAGCUAGAGUGUGAUAGAGGAAAGUGGAAUUUCUAGUGUAGAGGUGAAAUUCGUAGAUAUUAGAAAGAACACCAAAUGCGAAGGCAACUUUCUGGGUCACUACUGACACUGAGGAGCGAAAGCAUGGGUAGCGAAGAGG